rnacentral:ncRNA from 1 species
GGUGCUUUGCGGAGCCUAAAGAGGGAAGCCGGGUGAGAAUCCCGCACAAAGCCGUUGCUGUAUUGGCGAAGUGGUCCCCAAUCGGCCACUGGGGCGAGAGCUCUGGGAAGGCGGGGAGUGCGUUAGGACGCCUGAGUCAGAAUACCUGCCUGCGUA